rnacentral:rRNA from 1 species
UACGGGGGGGGCAAGCGUUGUUCGGAAUUACUGGGCGUAAAGGGCUUGUAGGUGGCCAACUAAGUCAGACGUGAAAUCCCACGGCUUAACCGAGGAACUGCGUCUGAUACUGGAUGGCUUGAGUGUGGGAGAGGGAUGCGGAAUUCCAGGUGUAGCGGUGAAAUGCGUAGAUAUCUGGAGGAAUACCGGUGGCGAAGGCGGCAUCCUGGACCGAGAUUGACGCUGAACGGCGAAAGCUAGGGGAGCAAACGGG